rnacentral:rRNA from 1 species
CCCUUAGAUGUUCUGGGCCGCACGCGCGCUACACUGAUCGGUGCAACAAGCAUCCGUCCUUGGCCGACAGGCCCGGGCAAUCUUUGAACGCCGGUCGUGAUGGGGAUAGACCUUUGCAAUUUUUGGUCUUCAACGAGGAAUUCCUAGUAAACGCAAGUCAUCAACUUGCAUUGAUUACGUCCCUGCCCUUUGUACACACCGCCCGUCGCACCUACCGAUUGAAUGGUCCGGUGAAGCCUCCGGAUUGGCGCGCACCUCGGUGCCGCCGAGAAGUUGGCUAAACCUUACCAUUUAGAGGAAGGUGAANUCGUANCA